GGUUGGUCCAAGUGCAGCAGUGUUUACAACUAAUUGAUCACAACCAGUUGCAGAUUUCUUUGUUUCAUAUCCACUCCCACUGCUUCACUUGACUAGCCUAAA
ensembl:misc_RNA Y_RNA Y RNA